UAACGGGGUGGCCUAAUACAUGCAGUCGAGCGAAUGGAUUAAGAGCUUGCUCUUAUGAAGUUAGCGGCGGACGGGUGAGUAACACGUGGGUAACCUGCCCAUAAGACUGGGAUAACUCCGGGAAACCGGGGCUAAUACCGGAUAACAUUUUGAACUGCAUGGUUCGAAAUUGAAAGGCGGCUUCGGCUGUCACUUAUGGAUGGACCCGCGUCGCAUUAGCUAGUUGGUGAGGUAACGGCUCACCAAGGCAACGAUGCGUAGCCGACCUGAGAGGGUGAUCGGCCACACUGGGACUGAGACACGGCCCAGACUCCUACGGGAGGCAGCAGUAGGGAAUCUUCCGCAAUGGACGAAAGUCUGACGGAGCAACGCCGCGUGAGUGAUGAAGGCUUUCGGGUCGUAAAACUCUGUUGUUAGGGAAGAACAAGUGCUAGUUGAAUAAGCUGGCACCUUGACGGUACCUAACCAGAAAGCCACGGCUAACUACGUGCCAGCAGCCGCGGUAAUACGUAGGUGGCAAGCGUUAUCCGGAAUUAUUGGGCGUAAAGCGCGCGCAGGUGGUUUCUUAAGUCUGAUGUGAAAGCCCACGGCUCAACCGUGGAGGGUCAUUGGAAACUGGGAGACUUGAGUGCAGAAGAGGAAAGUGGAAUUCCAUGUGUAGCGGUGAAAUGCGUAGAGAUAUGGAGGAACACCAGUGGCGAAGGCGACUUUCUGGUCUGUAACUGACACUGAGGCGCGAAAGCGUGGGGAGCAAACAGGAUUAGAUACCCUGGUAGUCCACGCCGUAAACGAUGAGUGCUAAGUGUUAGAGGGUUUCCGCCCUUUAGUGCUGAAGUUAACGCAUUAAAGCACUCCGCCUGGGGAGUACGGCCGCAAAGGCUGAAACUCAAAGGGAAUUGACGGGGGGCCCGCACAAGCGGGUGGGAGCAUGUGUUUAAUUUCGAAGCAACGCGAGACCCUUUACCAGGUCUUGACAUCCUCCUGAAACCCUAAAGAUAGGCUUCUCUUCGGGAGCAGAGUGACAGGUGCUGCAUGGCCUGUCGUCAGCUCAUGUCGUGAGAAUGGUUGGGGGUUAAAGUC
rnacentral:rRNA from 1 species